ACUUAGCUGAGAAUCGUUUUUCGUUAGAAAUGGUUUAUCGUAUGCAAAUUAAAUUGUGCUCUAUAUUAUAACCUACCUGCUCAAAUUCUCGUCUGCAACAGGGGCUCAUCCGUCGUGCGAAGUAUUAUGUCCGUCUUUUUAUUCACACAUAUUGCACGGACGGGAUAACGGGUCCUUUACACCCGCGGGCCCGCCCCAGGGACGUGGCCGCUUUCCAUUUUAAGACGAAAUCGCCGGUACAUGCCUC